rnacentral:rRNA from 1 species
GGGAAGAGCCCAGCGCCGAAUCCCCGACCCCUGCGGUCGUGGGAAAUGUGGCGUUCAGGAGUGAGCGUGCCGGGACCGGACUGCGCAGCAAGUCCCCCUGACCGGGGCCUAUCCAGAGCGGGUGCGAGGCCCAUAGCCGCGCGGUCCGUCUCGGAUGCGAUCUCCUUGGAGUCGGGUUGCUUGGGAGUGCAGCCCCAAUCGGGUGGUAAACUCCACCUAAGGCUAAAUACCGCCGUGAGACCGAUAGCAAACAAGUACCGUGAGGGAAAGUUGCAAAGAACUUUGAAGAGAGAGUUCAAGAGUACGUGAAACUGCUCAGAGGUAAACGGGUGGGCCCUCGAAAUCCUGUGGCGAGAGGAUUCAGUCUGGUGCGGCGGACGCGACCGGUCGGAAGAGGCAGGGCUUCCCGAGACUGGGGCCGUCCGACCUCGCGUCAUCCGCCGCGCCCGACGCAUUUGACUCUCGCCCGAAGGACGCUGCAGCCGGUCGGGCAACCGUGCAAGCGUGACGGCCUGGAGGCCGGGGAGCCGCAGGUGGCCGGUGGCGCGCGCACCAGUGCGCGUCGCCGGUUGUUAGCAUCCCCGGCGGUGGCCCGUCGCCCGACCGAGGUGUCGACAGACCAGCUUUGGUCUCCACGUCUCCUCCCCCAGACGAAGCGGGACGGACGGCCGCUGGCGAGGAUCGCCGUUCUUGCCGCACUCGGAUCGAGUGGACGAGCGAACGGUCAGUGCCGCAGGCGGCCGCGGAGCCCGCGGGAGGGCAGGAGGCUGGCAGCGAGUGCGUCGGUCACCCACCCGACCCGUCUUGAAACACGGACCAAGGAGUCUAACAUGUGCGCGAGUCAAUGGGUCUUGAACAGGCCCAGGGGCGCAAUGAAAGCAAAGGUCGGCACCAGCCGACCGAGUUGGGAUCCCCUCCCCCCGGGGGGGGGCGCACCAACGUCCCGUCCCGCCCGGCUCGCCGGAGGGGCGGAGAUCGAGCGCACACGUUGGGACCCGAAAGAUGGUGAACUAUGCCCGGACAGGACGAAGCCAGAGGAAACUCUGGU